ACCAUUUUUAAAAUGAUGCUUAAUUGUGAAAUGGAAUGAUACAGAGAAGAUUAGCAUGGUCCCUGUGAAGGAUGACAUGUAAAUUCUUGAAGCGGUCCAUAUUUUU
rfam:Tupaia chinensis contig14487, whole genome shotgun sequence.